ensembl:lncRNA
UGUUAUGUGUAAGUUUAUAAUGCUAAAAAGUAUUCAUUCCCCCUGUGACCGCAGACUUUUGGGACGCCCUGUAUGUAUAGAUGGAAUAAUGUAACGCAAUAAUAUUGAUCAUCAUUUAUUGUCACAACGCUAUUAGCACUAUUGUUUAUUGUUUACUAUUUAUUAGCACUAUUCUUUAUUGUUUACUAUUUAUUAGCACUAUUGUUUAUUGUUUACUAUUUAUUAGCACUAUUGUUUAUUAGCCUACAUUUCGCCAUUUUAUAGGUCCAAUGCAAUUUUGAACCAAAUCAGACGAUGCCGGACGACCGCUACAUGUGUAUCUCGGCAACGCCUUCCCUCAUUGCCGUGUAAGAUUUCUGCGCGUUCUAAACCUGGACAGACUGAGCGCGGUAUCUGAAUGCAACAGUAAUCGGGUGUAAUUUAGUGGAUCGGUGCGCUUUCGCUAGCGUUUCAUCAGGCCUGCACGGGCUUGAACCCACGUCGGUUCGUGUGAGCUGCUCUCGCUCGGUGAGGGAUUCCGAGCGGUGCAGUUUCGAGAGGCUGUACAGGAAAUUGUUGAGUUGAGUUUUGGUUUGUCCUAAUACAGGGCUGGCUUUGCGUGUCACGGCAUGGGCACGGCUCCAAACCAAACCCGCUUCAAAGUGCACCUAGAGGCAGAGCGAGCGAGCGAGCGAGGUGUGAGCGAUAGAGAGAGAGCAAACAACGGUUUGACUGACCGUGUUGUAAAAAGCCACUGAGUGGUGAUGAGCGCUCGGGCUGUGUUCAGGGUUCGAGAUGAUGAUGAUGAUGAUGAUGUAAUCACACGUAGGUUCUGAGCUUCAAUGCUUUGCGGUGCGCUCACUCCGGACACCUCGGCUUGUCCACUUGUGUGUUUUGUUAGGAUGAUGUGGUCUGAAUCUGGUGUGAAGGCAGGCUGAACUCUAGAGAAGUAAACAGGAAGGGAAGUGCUGUUAAUUCCGUCGUUCCCGUUGUACCGUCGCUUCAUGUUUCCACGCCGUAUUUGCAUCGGCUAACGACCGGGAAAGCUUCCGUAUUCCACGUUUCAAACCCGACUGACGCGUUAAUGAUUUAACAGCCGCACAAAUCUUUCCCGCAGACACGGAGCGUGCGUGCGUGCGUGCGUGCGUGCGUGCGACUUCUGUCUGCCAGUUUGAUGGGAGCGAUACGUUUAUGUUUACUUUCUUAUUGCAGCUUUUCAGUAAGAUACAUUUGCAUUGCAUACCAACAAGCUAUUUUUUAAAAAUAAAUAAAAAAAAAAACAUUUUUAAUUCGUUCUGCUCCGAAUAGGAAUGUUAUAAAUUAAAUUGAAAUAAAAUUCCUCAUACUUGGCGUGAAUUCGCUGCAUUUAUUUGAUUGAUAAUUAGUGAAAAAAAAGCGCAAAAAUUUUACUUUAUUAAUAAAUGAUUAAUAAUAAUUAUUAAUUAAAAAAAUGAAAUCUUGUUAUAUUAAUUAGGAAAUAUAUUAAUACACAUGCGGUCUGACUUUAGUGCUCACACUGAUGUGUUUUCGAGCAAACUAAUAAGACGUCGGAAUUAUUAUUCGUUAUUUUUUUCUGACUUGCUGUAAGCUUGACUCGCGCUUACUCGAAGUAGCUCCUCUUCAGAACGCCGUCACUAACGAUUAACGUUUUCUCGUACCGACUGCUCGUAAAGCUCUCCUCGUUCGGUAUUUUAUAUUUUGGUCUCUGUUUGGUCUCGUGGAUCCAGCUGUGGUGGUUGUAAUGUUGUUCUGUGUUUAUUGGGCCAGCUGGAGCUGGACCUGGGCUGCUCCUUUCUGGGUUUGAUUUUACAGAAAUAAAUAAAUGCCGUGUUGAAUUACAUGUUGGAUGUUAUAAUGGCGAGUCCUCCGCCACGCUGUUGGGAGAGAUCGAGAGACUGAGAAUGAGGCGGAGAACUUUAGAAUGGGAUGGAGAACGGGGCGGAGCACUAGAGAAUGAGCUGGAGAACGGUAGCGCGAGACGGAGAGCUGGAGAAUGAGACUGAGAGCGGUAGAACGAGACGGAGAACGGUAGAACGAGACGGAGAACGGUAGAACGAGACGGAGAACGGUAGAACUAGACGGAGAACGAGACGGAGAAGUAGAGAACGAGACGGAGAACGGGACGGAGAAGUAGAGAAUGAGACUGAGAACGGAGAACGGACGGAAGUAGAGAAUGAGACUGAGAACGAGACGGAGAACGAGACGGAGAAGUAGAGAAUGAGACUGAGAACGAGACGGAGAAGUAGAGAAUGAGACGGAGAACGGGAGAACGAGACGGAGACAGGAUGGUCAGACGGACAGACGAUCAGAACAUCCUGAAUGUUCUGCCGUUAGAGCAGUGUCCUUGUUAGAAAGUCCUCCCUCCGUCUCUCUCGAUCCUGCACCGUCUCUCUGUCUCGUGCUUUCUUUUCAUCUCCCUCCUUUUGUUCCUGUUGUGUCCUUUCAG